rfam:Termitomyces sp. J132 unplaced genomic scaffold scaffold92, whole genome shotgun sequence.
GAACCCUUAGCUCAGCGGUAGAGUGUGUGAUUCCAGAUCUUGGAAACUCCACAAAGUCAUCUGUUCAAUCCAGGUAGGGUUCA